GAGGUUUUAAUAGGCAGUUGGCUACAAGCUCUGGCAACAGGCACUGAGAACCCGGUCUCAGACUCGGGUUCAAGGGCAACCUCUGUUCCCCGGAAGGACUAAGGACUAGAGAAAAAGACAAGAGACAACCACGAUUUGGCAGAAACGGCUGCUGGGCAGGGGUCAAGGCCAUGCCUUAAGCCUCGCGUGGAGUUUUAACCUAUGGAGCUCGAGGCAGGAGAACAAAAUAAAACUCCCAUCAUUAAAACUGGGAAAGGAGGGUGGAACAGAACUAGUAAAGCUGGCUUCCCUCCUUCCUUCUACAAAUAUUCAUGAUUUGUCUCCUGUGCACAGCGCAUUAUGCUAGGCACUCACACACAAGUGAUUCAAAUCCACCCUAAGAGGUAGACAGAAGAGAUCAUGACAGUACAUGGACACCAGUGCAGCCAUAAAGGAAAUAGAUUGCUGACCUGUGUCAGAAAAGAUUCCUCGGCAAGUUUCAGAGAUGGAUAAGAAUUAGCCGGUAAAGGGAUCUCAGGAAGAGAGAACAGCGCAAGCAAAAGCAGGAAGAUCCAGUUUAGGGACUUCACUGGUGGCAUAGUAGUUAAGAAUCCUCCUGCCAAAGCAGGGGACACGGGUUUGAUACCUGGUCCAGGAAGAUCCCACAUGCCUUGGAGCAACUAAGCCCGUGUGCCACAACUGCUGAAGCCCGCGCGCCUAGAGCCCGUGCUCCACAACAAGAGAAUCCUCCACAAUGAGAAGCCUGCGUACUGCAACGAAGAGUAGCCCCUGCUCACCGCAACUAGAGAAAGCCUGCAGGCAACAACGAAGACCCAACUCAACCAAAAAUAAAUAAAUUUAAAAAAAAUAAAUUUAUAUAUAAAAAAAAGAUCCAGUUC